rnacentral:rRNA from 1 species
UACGUAGGCGGUUUAAUUAAGUCAGAUGUGAAAGCCCCGGGCUUAACCUGGGAACUGCAUUUGAUACUGGUAAACUAGAGUAUGGUAGAGGGGGGUAGAAUUCCUAGUGUAGCGGUGAAAUGCGUAGAUAUUAGGAGGAAUACCAGUGGCGAAGGCGGCCCCCCUGGACCAAUACUGACGCUGAGGUACGAAAGCGUGGGUAGCGAACA